CAGAAAAUGACGGAGCAUGUUCUGAAGAAAACACUAAGGGUGUGGCUAAACAACCAUUUGAUAAGGAUAUUAGCAUGGCUGUGACCCACAGGUCUAAGCAGCCAUUGCAGCCGAAGCCAGAAAGAGAUGCAAUCAUAACAGCAGAGAAACUCCAGUUGGAACUAAAAAGGACAGAGAAAGUGAAACAGAACAAAGGGAGGCAGUUGGACUUCUGGGAUGCUACAGGACAAGUCCGUAGAGCUAUCUGGCUUUAAACAUGCAUUGUCCUUCAAAAAAAGGGAAGAAUGACCUUUAAGGCAAUUCAGAGACCAUAGGACUUCCACUGCUCCUACAGGCCUAGGGAAAUGAGAAAGGUUAUUGUGAAGAUAGCAAGAAGGAGGCCAUCUGCAAACUGGGAAGAGAGCCCUCACCAGAAACCAAAUUAACCAGAACCUUGAUCUUGGACUUCUAACCUCCAGAACUGU
rnacentral:lncRNA from 10 species